rnacentral:rRNA from 1 species
AGCAGGCGCGCAAAUUACCCACUCCCGGCACGGGGAGGUAGUGACGAAAAAUAACGAUACGGGACUCAUCCGAGGCCCCGUAAUCGGAAUGAGUACACUUUAAAUCCUUUAACGAGGAUCAAUUGGAGGGCAAGUCUGGUGCCAGCAGCCGCGGUAAUUCCAGCUCCAAUAGCGUAUAUUAAAGUUGUUGCGGUUAAAAAGCUCGUAGUCGAAUUUGUGUCCCGCGCCGCCGGUUCAUCGCUCGCGGUGUUCAACUGGCGUGUCCGCGGGACGUCCUGCCGGUGGGCUUAGCCCGCGAGGGCGGCCCAACUGCAAAUCCCGCCGCGGUGCUCUUCACUGAGUGUCGAGGUGGGCCGGCACGUUUACUUUGAACAAAUUAGAGUGCUUAAAGCAGGCCAAAAUUUCGCCUGAAUACUUAGUGCAUGGAAUAAUGGAAUAGGACCUCGGUUCUAUUUUGUUGGUUUUCGGAACCCCGAGGUAAUGAUUAAUAGGAACGGAUGGGGGCAUUCGUAU